rnacentral:rRNA from 1 species
UACGGGAGGCAGCAGUGGGGAAUAUUGCACAAUGGGCGAAAGCCUGAUGCAGCUAUGCCGCGUGUAUGAAGAAGGCCUUAGGGUUGUAAAGUACUUUCAUCGGGGAGGAAAAACAAAACUAAUAAUUUUAUUUCUUGACGUUACCCGAAAAAGAAGCACCGGCUAACUCCGUGCCAGCAGCCGCGGUAAUACGGAGGGUGCUAGCGUUAAUCAGAAUUACUGGGCGUAAAGAGCACGUAGGUGGUUUUUUUAAAGUCAGAUGUGAAAUCCCUGGGCUUAACCUGGAACUGCAUUUUGUAAACUGAAAUACUAGAGUAUCGUAGAGGGAGGUAGGAAUUCUAGGUGUAGCGGUGAAAUGCGUAGAUAUCUGGAGGAAGUACCUGUGGCGAAAGCGGCCGUCCUAAACGAAUACUGACACUGAGGUGCGAAAGCGUGGGGAGGCAAACAGGGAUUAGAUACC